ACGCUGGCGGCGUGCUUGACACAUGCAAGUCGAACGGUGAAGAGGAGCUUGCUCCUUGGAUCAGUGGCGAACGGGUGAGUAACACGUGAGUAACCUGCCCUUGACUCUGGGAUAAGCACUGGAAACGGUGUCUAAUACCGGAUACGAGCUUCAGCCGCAUGGCUAGGAGUUGGAAAGAAUUUCGGUCAAGGAUGGACUCGCGGCCUAUCAGCUAGUUGGUGAGGUAAUGGCUCACCAAGGCGACGACGGGUAGCCGGCCUGAGAGGGUGACCGGCCACACUGGGACUGAGACACGGCCCAGACUCCUACGGGAGGCAGCAGUGGGGAAUAUUGCACAAUGGGCGCAAGCCUGAUGCAGCAACGCCGCGUGAGGGACGACGGCCUUCGGGUUGUAAACCUCUUUUAGUAGGGAAGAAGCGAAAGUGACGGUACCUGCAGAAAAAGCACCGGCUAACUACGUGCCAGCAGCCGCGGUAAUACGUAGGGUGCAAGCGUUGUCCGGAAUUAUUGGGCGUAAAGAGCUCGUAGGCGGUUUGUCGCGUCUGCUGUGAAAACCCGAGGCUCAACCUCGGGCCUGCAGUGGGUACGGGCAGACUAGAGUGCGGUAGGGGAGAUUGGAAUUCCUGGUGUAGCGGUGGAAUGCGCAGAUAUCAGGAGGAACACCAAUGGCGAAGGCAGAUCUCUGGGCCGUAACUGACGCUGAGGAGCGAAAGCAUGGGGAGCGAAC
rnacentral:rRNA from 1 species